GUUAGGAAUAUUGGACAAUGGGCGAAAGCCUGAUCCAGCCAUGCCGCGUGAACGAUGAAGGCCUUCGGGUUGUAAAGUUCUUUAGCCGAUGAUUAUAAUGACUGUAGUCGGAAAAUAAGCCCCGGCUAACUUCGUGCCAGCAGCCGCGGUAAUACGAAGGGGCGAGCGUUAUUCGGAAUCACUGGGCGUAAAGCGUGCGUAGGCGGUUUUGUAAGUUAGGAGUGAAAGCCCAGGGCUCAACCUUGGAAUUGCUCUUAAAACUGCAAGGCUCGAAUCUCGGAGAGGAUAGCGGAAUUUCCAGUGUAGCAGUGAAAUGCGUAGAUAUUGGAAGGAACACCAGUGGCGUAAGCGGCUAUCUGGACGAGUAUUGACGCUGAGGCACGAAAGCGUGGGGAUCAAACAGGAUUAGAAACCCUUGUAGUCC
rnacentral:rRNA from 1 species